rnacentral:rRNA from 1 species
AUGAGUGCCCGGGUCCAGAGGCCGUCGGAGCUUGGCGCGAUCCGAACGGCGAGGCCAGCGCGGGACUUGGAUCCGCCAGUGAAAGAGAUGAACGGCGUGGCGGGGCUCGGGAAGACCACGGCGCUCAGGGAGAGCAUGGAGCUCCUGUUGGUGGCGACGAAGAGAGGCGGCGACGCUCCUGGAAGAUGGGGCGGCGCGGAGCAGCAACCUGCUGCUGGUCGCAGGCGUGGACGAGGCAAGGGGCGGCGGAGCAUCAUGGCUGAGGGAGCAGAGGGGGAGGCCGAGCAGGGCAAGCUGAUGGCCACCGUGGGCGCGACGGCGGCGAGGAGGCCGACGGGGCUCCGGCCUGGAUCCCUGGAUCGAAGGAGGAGGGAGGCUGAGCAGAGGCGAUCGGGGAUCGGGCUGCGAGGGAGAUGGCGCUGA